GGGGCUCUGGCUCAGUGGAAGAGCAUCUGCUUUGCAUGCAGAUGAUCCCAGGUUCAAUUCCUGGCAUCUCCA